GACGAGCGCUGGCGGCGUGCUUAACACAUGCAAGUCGAACGAUGAAGCCGGAGCUUGCUCUGGUGAAUUAGUGGCGAACGGGUGAGUAACACGUGAGUAACCUGCCCUUGACUCUGGGAUAACUGCGGGAAACUGUAGCUAAUACCGGAUACGACCCUCGGAGGCAUCUCCUGGGGGUGGAAAGAAUUUCGGUCAAGGAUGGACUCGCGGCCUAUCAGCUAGUUGGUGAGGUAAAGGCUCACCAAGGCGACGACGGGUAGCCGGCCUGAGAGGGUGACCGGCCACGCUGGGAAUGGGACACAGCCCAGACUCCUACGGGAGGCAGCAGUGGGGAAUAUUGCACAAUGGGCGCAAGCCUGAUGCAGCAACGCCGCGUGAGGGAUGACGGCCUUCGGGUUGUAAACCUCUUUUAGCAGGGAAGAAGCGAAAGUGACGGUACCUGCAGAAAAAGCACCGGCUAACUACGUGCCAGCCGCCGCCGUAA
rnacentral:rRNA from 1 species